AACACGUGGGCAAUCUGCCCUGCACUCUGGGACAAGCCCUGGAAACGGGGUCUAAUACCGGAUACUGAUCAUCUUGGGCAUCCAAGGUGUUCGAAAGCUCCGGCGGUGCAGGAUGAGCCCGCGGCCUAUCAGCUUGUUGGUGAGGUAGUGGCUCACCAAGGCGACGCGGGUAGCCGGCCUGAGAGGGCGACCGGCCACACUGGGACUGAGACACGGCCCAGACUCCUACGGGAGGCAGCAGUGGGGAAUAUUGCACAAUGGGCGAAAGCCUGAUGCAGCGACGCCGCGUGAGGGAUGACGGCCUUCGGGUUGUAAACCUCUUUCAGCAGGGAAGAAGCGAAAGUGACGGUACCUGCAGAAGAAGCGCCGGCUAACUACGUGCCAGCAGCCGCGGUAAUACGUAGGGCGCGAGCGUUGUCCGGAAUUAUUGGGCGUAAAGAGCUCGUAGGCGGCUUGUCACGUCGGUUGUGAAAGCCCGGGGCUUAACCCCGGGUCUGCAGUCGAUACGGGCAGGCUAGAGUUCGGUAGGGGAGAUCGGAAUUCCUGGUGUAGCGGUGAAAUGCGCAGAUAUCAGGAGGAACACCGGUGGCGAAGGCGGAUCUCUGGGCCGAUACUGACGCUGAGGAGCGAAAGCGUGGGGAGCGAACAGGAUUAGAUACCCUGGUAGUCCACGCCGUAAACGGUGGGCACUAGGUGUGGGCAACAUUCCACGUUGUCCGUGCCGCAGCUAACGCAUUAAGUGCCCCGCCUGGGGAGUACGGCCGCAAGGCUA
rnacentral:rRNA from 1 species